rnacentral:rRNA from 1 species
GACGAACGCUGGCGGCGUGCCUAAUACAUGCAAGUUGAGCGCUGAAGGUUGGUACUUGUACCAACUGGAUGAGCAGCGAACGGGUGAGUAACGCGUGGGGAAUCUGCCUUUGAGCGGGGGACAACAUUUGGAAACGAAUGCUAAUACCGCAUAAAAACUUUAAACACAAGUUUUAAGUUUGAAAGAUGCAAUUGCAUCACUCAAAGAUGAUCCCGCGUUGUAUUAGCUAGUUGGUGAGGUAAAGGCUCACCAAGGCGAUGAUACAUAGCCGACCUGAGAGGGUGGUCGGCCACAUUGGGACUGAGACACGGCCCAAACUCCUACGGGAGGCAGCAGUAGGGAAUCUUCGGCCAUGGACGAAAGUCUGACCGAGCAACGCCGCGUGAGUGAAGAAGGGUGUCGGAUCGUAAAACUCUGUUGGUAGAGAAGAACGUUGGUGAGAGUGGAAAGCUCAUCAAGUGACGGUAACUACCCAGAAAGGGACGGCUAACUACGUG